rnacentral:lncRNA from 1 species
AAGAGGGCGACUGAGUCAAACCCAGGCUGACCCCAGCCCAUUUGCAUUCCCCAAACGCCUGCCUGACCUGAGGUCCCGCUCUGCUCAGUCCCUGGCUGCACCAUCUCCUGCAGGGAAUCUGCAUGGCAUCCUGGCACAGCCACAGCCGUGGGCACCAGCCAAGGAGGGAUCCCAUGGCCAUGUCCUGGCUGCCUUGAGUCUGUGAGGCCACACAGCCUCCCACCUGCAUCUCCAGGGCUCUGUCCCUGUCCAGCCCCUGGACCAGCUUCCGAGUCUACUCCUCACCCCAGCCCGGGGACGCCUCAAGCUUCAGGACUCAGUGGGGCACAGUAGCAGUCACGGUAGGCGGCGACCCCACUCUGCUCUCUCUUGGCUCCUGGGAAUACUUAGCUGAGCCUUCUUGGUCUCUGGAAUAGGAAGGAGACCUUUCUGAACACCAUAUCUGUCACCGUAUCCCUUUGGUUGCACAUCGCAAAAAAACUUAUUUCAAUAAGAUACAAGUAUCAGCUCAUGUAACUGAAGUAUCCAGAGGUAGAUGGGGCUUCAUCCAGCGGUUCAGUGUGGCCAGGACCUGUUUUCUGUCUGCAUUUCUCUGCUCCCUCUUCCUUGGUGGUGGCUCCACCUCUAUGAGCAUU